AUUGAACGCUGGCGGAAUGCUUUACACAUGCAAGUCGAGCGGCAGCACGGGGGCAACCCUGGUGGCGAGCGGCGAACGGGUGAGUAAUACAUCGGAACAUGCCCAGUCGUGGGGGAUAACACUUCGAAAGAAGUGCUAAUACCGCAUACGUCCUGAGGGAGAAAGCGGGGGAUCUUCGGACCUCGCGCGAUUGGAGUGGCCGAUGUCAGAUUAGCUAGUUGGUGGGGUAAAGGCCUACCAAGGCAACGAUCUGUAGCUGGUCUGAGAGGAUGAUCAGCCACACUGGGACUGAGACACGGCCCAGACUCCUACGGGAGGCAGCAGUGGGGAAUUUUGGACAAUGGGGGCAACCCUGAUCCAGCCAUUCCGCGUGAGUGAAGAAGGCCUUCGGGUUGUAAAGCUCUUUCGGCAGGAACGAAACGGCGAGCUCUAACAUAGCUUGCUAAUGACGGUACCUGAAGAAGAAGCACCGGCUAACUACGUGCCAGCAGCCGCAGUAAGAC
rnacentral:rRNA from 1 species